GGCAGUGGUAGCUCAGUGGUUAAUACACUGUACUGCUGUUCGAAAGGUUGUGAGUUCAAAUCCCAGCACUGCUG